AUGGUCACAGCAUGUGUCGUUAUGAACGGGGCAGAGGUAAAGAAGCCCCCUCCGAUGUUAUUUGACAGAACAGGAGUAUGCCCUGUCGUUGCUCUUGCUCCAAUGCACACAUAGAGCUAGAGACUUCUGUGCCAGAAAGAAGAGAACGAGAAAUUGUGAAUUUAAGAAUGUGUUUUGUUAUAGGGUAAUUGAUGACAUCGUAUGGAUGACAUGAUGCCCAUCUAGGAGUGUGUGUGUGUGUGAGAGAGAGAGAGAGAGAGAGAGAGAGAGAGAGAGAGAGAGAGAGAGAGAGAGAGAGAGAGAGAGAGAGAGAGAGAGAGAGAGAAUGUGUAAGACUGAUGAUGUGUAUAAGGCCUCUGCAUGUUUUGGUUUUGUAUUUGUGUAUUUAUGUAAGCUGAUAAACACCUUAAUUUUGUUUGGAAUUAGGCCUAACAUGAUAAAAAGUACUUCACUCUAUUCUACAUCCGCAGCUCCAUGAAUGUCAUGAGACACUCCAGGAGACGGUGGUUGCAAUGCAUUAUCAACACCCCGCAACCCCAACCCUCCAAUGGAACCCAGAACCCUCCGGAGUUCCUCAGGACCUGUCGGCAUGAGUGAGGCGAACACAUCGUGCGUUGGAGGAAGAGUUGCAGUGACGACUUGGACCACAGGCCAGAAGCCUGAAAUAGAUUCUUUGAGAAUCUUAAAAGUCAAACAACUGGGCCUUGCGGGGAAGACUGAUGACGUGAGAAAAAAAGGAAACAUUUGAUGGGCAGACGUGAGCGGCAGUGGUGCUGGUGGCGCAGGAUGUCCUGGAGGAGGACGACCUCGACUACCUCAAAGGAGCUGAUUCUAGCCUUGUGCCUGAUGGGGAAACAAGUGCACAUUUGUUGUGCUCUGUCUGAGAUGGAGAAGUGUGCGCCUUGCUGGCGUACUUCAAUUGAUGCCAGCAAGCCCAGCCAGCGAGUGAC